rnacentral:lncRNA from 1 species
GUAAAAUGCACAGUGCUUUGGAAAACUGGAUUAAAGGCAGCAUGAAUCUCAGCACGAAAAACAAUUGUUUGUAUCAGUGGGGGCAGGGCCAGCCGUCAGCCUAUUGCUUCUUUGGAGUAAUAGACUUGGGAAAUUGAUCUGUGGUUCAAUUGUAAAGCCCUUCAGGGACAGGCUGGGCUCUGCACCAGCUACUAGCUAGUUUAACUCAGCUAUGGAGAAACAGCAACAAGCAAGAACAACAGCAAUGCCAGGGAGGCUCCAAGGUCUUAUGCCUACCACCUUGGUGUCCAUCUGUGUUCAUUUAUCCCCUCCGCCCAGCGUUCCCCUCUCUGAUGGGUCCCUCCAGGAAAACUUGACCUCGUUAUUUAUAAAUGGGGAAGAGUUGGGAGCCUUGCCAGUGCACUAGAAUAUUCCUCAGCAUGGAAGGGAACUUGUCAGAGGCCCCAGAGAGAUUCUUGUUUCAGUUAAACUAUGUGGCCUGCACCUUUGAAGAGCUUGGGAAGCAGGGUUUUACGGUUUGGUUGUUGUGUUUACACACACACACACACACACACACACACACACUCACACACACACUCACACACACACACACACACACACACACACACUUACAGGUAGAUACCCACACCCACAUACAUACACUUACAGAUAGACACACACACACACUCACACACACACUUACAGGUAGACAUCCACACCCACAUACAUACACUUAUAGAUACACUAACAGACACACACACACACACACACACACAUACACUUACAGGUAGACACCUACACCCACAUAAUACACUUACAGAUAGACACACACAGAGGUAGACACUCACACCCCCACACAUAUACUUAUAGAUACAUACAAUUACAGGUACACACACACACACACACACACACACACACACAUACACACACUUGCAGGUAGACACCCACACCCACAUACAUAUACUUACAGAUAUACACACAUACUCACAUACCCCCACCCCCCAUUUACAGGUAGACACCCACACCCAUAUACAUACACUUAUAGAUACACACACUCACAUACACACACACUCACACAUACACACAUUUAUAGGUAGACAUCCACACCCACAUACAUACACAUACAGAUAGACACACACACACUGACACACACACACACACUUACAGGUAGACACUCACACCUACAUACAUACACUUACAGAUACAUACACUUACAGAUACACACACACACACACACUCACAUACACAAACAGGUAGACACCCACACCCCCAUACAUACACUUACAGAUAGACACACAUACACACACACUCACAAACACACACUUACAGGUAGACACCCACACCCACAUACAUACACUUACAGAUACACCCACACACUCACAUACACACACACUCACACACACACACAUUUAUAGGUAGACACCCACAUGCAUACACUUACAGAUACACACACAUACACUGAGGGGGGUCAGCACACUAUUUUCACACAUAUAAUGAAUGUAUUUUGAUGACAUCCAUCCGUUCUCCUCUCCCUUGUCCCCUCUCAUCCCCCUGUACACUCAUGCUUGUGUGUAUAUGG